AUUGAACGCUGGCGGCAGGCCUAACACAUGCAAGUCGAGCGGAUGAAGGGAGCUUGCUCCUGGAUUCAGCGGCGGACGGGUGAGUAAUGCCUAGGAAUCUGCCUGGUAGUGGGGGAUAACGUCCGGAAACGGGCGCUAAUACCGCAUACGUCCUGAGGGAGAAAGUGGGGGAUCUUCGGACCUCACGCUAUCAGAUGAGCCUAGGUCGGAUUAGCUAGUUGGUGGGGUAAAGGCCUACCAAGGCGACGAUCCGUAACUGGUCUGAGAGGAUGAUCAGUCACACUGGAACUGAGACCCGGUCCAGACUCCUACGGGAGGCAGCAGUGGGGAAUAUUGGACAAUGGGCGAAAGCCUGAUCCAGCCAUGCCGCGUGUGUGAAGAAGGUCUUCGGAUUGUAAAGCACUUUAAGUUGGGAGGAAGGGCAGUAAGUUAAUACCUUGCUGUUUUGACGUUACCAACAGAAUAAGCACCGGCUAACUUCGU
rnacentral:rRNA from 1 species